ACCAAUAAGAUAGCGCCAGGCCUUAUAUAGGUGACGAGGAUGAAGUUUAUCGAAAGAUUCGGCGGAUGACUUCAGGGUCGCUGUGCUCUAAAGAUUAUUUUAAAAACUUGAUAAAAGAACAAAAAAAUAAUCAGACAGCUCG
rnacentral:ncRNA from 1 species